UGUGUGUGUGUGUGUGUGUGUGUGUGUGUGUGUAUGUAUCUGACAAACAGAUACACACACACACACACACACAAU
rnacentral:miRNA from 1 species